GGUUCCGUAGUAUAGUGGUUAGUACGGCUCGUUGUGGUUGCAACGAUAAACCGAGCAGACGCGUGUUCGAUUCACGCCGGAGCCA